rnacentral:rRNA from 1 species
UACAGAGGGUGCGAGCGUUAAUCGGAAUUACUGGGCGUAAAGCGUGCGUAGACGGUUAUUUAAGUCGGGUGUGAAAGCCCCGGGCUCAACCUGGGAAUUGCAUUCGAGACUGAAUAGCUAGGGUACGGUAGAGGGAAGCGGAAUUUCCGGUGUAGCGGUGAAAUGCGCAGAGAUCGGGAGGAACACCCGUAGCGAAGGCGGCGCUCUGGGCCGGUACUGACGCUGAGGAGCGAAAGCGUGGGGAGCAACAGG